GAUGAACGCUGGCGGCGUGCCUAAUACAUGCAAGUCGAGCGAACAGACGAGGAGCUUGCUCCUCUGACGUUAGCGGCGGACGGGUGAGUAACACGUGGAUAACCUACCUAUAAGACUGGGAUAACUUCGGGAAACCGGAGCUAAUACCGGAUAAUAUAUUGAACCGCAUGGUUCAAUAGUGAGAGACGGUUUUGCUGUCACUUAUAGAUGGAUCCGCGCCGCAUUAGCUAGUUGGUAAGGUAACGGCUUACCAAGGCGACGAUGCGUAGCCGACCUGAGAGGGUGAUCGGCCACACUGGAACUGAGACACGGUCCAGACUCCUACGGGAGGCAGCAGUAGGGAAUCUUCCGCAAUGGGCGAAAGCCUGACGGAGCAACGCCGCGUGAGUGAUGAAGGUCUUCGGAUCGUAAAACUCUGUUAUUAGGGAAGAACAAAUGUGUAAGUAACUAUGCACGUCUUGACGGUACCUAAUCAGAAAGCCACGGCUAACUAAGUG
rnacentral:rRNA from 1 species